rnacentral:rRNA from 1 species
UACGGAGGGGGCUAGCGUUGUUCGGAAUUACUGGGCGUAAAGAGUACGUAGGUGGUUUGUUAAGUUAGAUGUGAAAGCCCUGGGCUCAACCUAGGAAUAGCAUUUAAUACUGACGAACUAGAGUUUGAGAGGGGAUAGUGGAAUUUCUAGUGUAGAGGUGAAAUUCGUAGAUAUUAGAAGGAACACCAGUGGCGAAGGCG